GCCACUAGAGAUCAAGCGACUGCCCCUGAAGAUCAGUCGUCCCUCUCUCUCUCGCUCUCUUUUUCUAUCUCUCUCACACACAGACAAUCUGUUCUACACGGACAACAUCAAUCAGCGUAUGUAGGGGUUCCUUCUUACUAGGGAGGCCUAAUAGAUUGUAAUAUAUAAUUUUUAGAGGGAUCGCAGAGACUUAUAGGGUGCUGAAGAAGGGAGGAAAGGCGUGUAUCAUAGGCCCUUUUUAUCCGACUUUCUGGCUUUCAAAAUUCUUCGCAGACCUCUGGAUGCUGUUUUCUAAAGAAGAAGAUUACCUCUGGUGGUUCGAGAAGGUUGGUUUCACCAAUGUAAAGCUCAAGAGGAUUGGACCAGAGUGGUACAGGGGAGUCCGAAAGCACGGCCUGGUCAUCAGUUGCAUCACCACCGGCACCAAGACUGAUCAUGGUCCAUCUGUUCUCGAGCCAUUGCUUAUCAUCAUCUGGAGUUGAUCCCAAUGGGGAAGCAAGUAACAUAAGAACUCGAACUGGAGCAAUACCUAGGGCUCAGAGGGCAGAUGCAUCAACUCUUUGGAAGGAAUUUACAAAUCCAAAAGGGAGGAAGUAAGUGAUAACUUUUGAUUUUCUGAGUUCUUAAUUUUCACUCAUCGAAAUAUUAAUGUGGUUUGACCUCAGUUCUGUUUAAUUGGUUUUCAAAUGAUUGCAAUGUAAACAUUGAGGUUGUUGUAGGUAUUACUAUAAUAAGGUUACCAAGCAAUCCAAAUGGAUGAUGCCUGAGGAAUUGAAGGUGUCUUAAUACAACUCAUUGAGAAAUUCACUUUCUUUUUGUUUCAAAUUUUAUUUGUUUCUAUUGCAUUUUCCAACGUUGCCACACAUGCUAUUAUUAAGUUGGCCCGUGAAUAGGCAGAAAAAGCAGCUAGUCAGAGUAUUCUGCCUGAGACUACCAUGGCCUCUCACACCUCAGUUUCUGUCACUGUCUCUUCAGUUGAGCCACAAUCUGUUUCAGCUAAUUCUAUUAGCUCUACCCCAUCUACUCUUAUACCCGAUUUGGCAUCAAGCCCAGUUCCAGUGGCACCUGUUGUAGCUGCUGUUUAUCCACUCCCUAUGGUGGCUUCUAGGUCACAAGUUGUUCCUGCUGUACUUGGUGCUGUAACAAGAAGUGCAGCAGGUGUUCAUUCUACUGCAGCAGUUGUUGCUGCUACAUUGGUCAACACAACUACACAACAACGUAUGCAUAUUUUGCAGCUCUUAAGACAUUGUUGAGUUGCUUGUGGUUGGAUCAUGCUGGUAAUUUUUUUAUUGCUUCCCUUUGCCUGUCCAACUUGCAGGACUAAUAUUGAGAAUGUGCCUAAUCAAGAUGUUACAACUUCUGUAGAUGGAGCUUCUACUCAAGAUGUCACAACAGAAUGUGCCACUCUCUGUUGUGCAACUAUGCUUCUUUUUUUACAUUAUUCUGUAUUUUUGUUGAAAAAUUGAUGUUGUUUAUGCUUUUUAGGAAGAAAAAAAGGGCAUGGCUGUUGCAGGCAAAAUCAAUAUUAAUACUGCAGAGGAGAAAACAAUUGAUGACCCUUGGUUUAUGCUAAUAAGCUGGAAGCAAAAACUGCUUUCAAAGCACUUUUGGAGUCAGCAAAUGUUGAAUCCGACUGGACUUGGGAGCAGGUAAGCUGAAAUGCAUGAAGGUAUUCUCAACCUUUGUGGAUUCUACACUAGUGCUUGAUAUUGAUAUUUGUAAGGAAAAUCCCAGCCCAUGAGGGUAAUAAUCAAUGACAAGAGAUAUGGUGCUCUGAAAACACUUGGAGAAUGGAAGCAAACAUUUAAUGAGAUCUUCAUGAAGACAGGCACUAUUUGGAUGAUCAUCCUGGAUUGGUGCCUAUAACCACUGCACAGGAGGAUAUGCUGAUCUGGGCACUCUUGUAAAUGAGCCUCCGAGAGAUGCCCUAACCUUGUGGGAGAUUGGUGUUCCUGACCAUUCAGCUGCUGAGUUCUUCAUCCCAGAUCUCGACUCCCGCUAUUUCAACCCACUCUACAUAAAUCAGGGCAGGUUUAGGCAAUAUGGGUUGUGGGAGAAGUAUGGGCUUUUGUAUCCCUACCAGGAUCUAGCUUAUACUGUAGGUGUUAGUGACUACCGAAAAGAUUGGUACGCACACAUUACAAGAACAAUCAGCAAUCCUACAGGGCAUAAAAUCUUAUCUGGGUUACUGGUAUUGGCACCAAAAAUUUGAUAGGGAAUCAGCCACAAGACGAGCCCUGUUCAAGCUUGAAUGGAGACUUAGGAACUUCUCAACUGUAGGUUGUGGGUUAUCCUCCUUGGCUGAUAGGGAAUCAGCCACAAGACUUAGGAACUUCACUCAGCAUAUAUGUUGUAAAAGAGAAAAAGAGAGAUCAGAUAUCAAAAAAGUGAGUUCAAGGAGAAAAGAAAACAUAUCAAUAUCUUACAUGCAAGAUCUAUACCAGUCAAACCAGUAAAUUUGCACGAGGUCAAUGAAUAUGGGCAUCAAACGUUGAGAAUCAAAGACUAAGAGAGUAGCUAUGUCUUGCUGGUAUAGGAUGCAUUUCCAACUAAAGGAUUAUUAUCCAAUUCAUAGGCCAGCCAUAAUAGAAGGCUAGUUCGUUUCCUGGACUUCAUUCAACCUACAGCUUCUUAAAUGGAUUUUGGCUUCUGUAUCUUUCUCCAAGAACCUGAAGAUCCAAAUUCGUCAUGUUCAAGGCUAAGGUGUCUCGAGGGGUUCGAGGGCUGAAGAAGGGAAGGAUGCCCAAUUCUUG